rnacentral:rRNA from 1 species
AGAGUUUGAUCAUGGCUCAGAACGAACGCUGGCGGCGUGGAUUAGGCAUGCAAGUCGUACGAGAAAAGAGUCUUCGGACUCCUAGUACAGUGGCGAACGGGUGAGUAACGCGUGGGAAACCUGCCCUUGAGAUGGGGAUAACUUCUCUAACGAGGAGCUAAUACCGAAUGACAUUCUCGACUCGCAUGGGUUGAGAAUCAAAGGUGGCCUCUACUUGUAAGCUACCACUCAUGGAUGGUCCCGCGUCCCAUUAGCUUGUUGGUAGGGUAAUGGCCUACCAAGGCGACGAUGGGUAGCUGGUCUGAGAGGAUGGUCAGCCACACUGGGACUGAGAUACGGCCCAGACUCCUACGGGAGGCAGCAGUCGAGAGGCUUUGGCAAUGGGGGAAACCCUGACCAAGCGACGCCGCGUGGGCGACGAAGGCCUUCGGGUUGUAAAGCCCUGUCAUGUAGGAAGAAAAAUCAUCCGGCUAAUACCCUGGUGAUUUGACGGUACUGCAAGAGGAAGCUCCGGCUAACUCCGUGCCAGCAGCCGCGGUAACACGGGGGGAGCAAGCGUUGUUCGGAAUUACUGGGCGUAAAGGGCGCGUAGGCGGCUUGGUAAGUGGGACGUGAAAUGCUCCGGCUCAACCGGGGACCUGCGUUCCAAACUGCCAAGCUUGAGUACAGGAGAGGGGAGUGGAAUUCCGGGUGUAGCGGUGAAAUGCGUAGAUAUCCGGAGGAACACCAGUGGCGAAGGCGACUCCCUGGCCUGAUACUGACGCUGAGGCGCGAAAGCUAGGGGAGCAAACAGGAUUAGAUACCCUGGUAGUCCUAGCCGUAAACGAUGGGCACUAGGUGUAGGAGGUAUUGACCCCUCUUGUGCCGCAGCUAACGCAUUAAGUGCCCCGCCUGGGGAGUACGACCGCAAGGUUGAAACUCAAAGGAAUUGACGGGGGCCCGCACAAGCGGUGGAGCAUGUGGUUUAAUUCGACGCAACGCGAAGAACCUUACCGGGGCUUGACAUGCUUAGGACAGGCGUGGAAACACGUUUUUCCUUCGGGACCUUUGCACAGGUGCUGCAUGGCUGUCGUCAGCUCGUGUCGUGAGAUGUUGGGUUAAGUCCCGCAACGAGCGCAACCCUUGUCCUUAGUUGCUAGCGGGUUAUGCCGAGAACUAUAAGGAGACUGCCGGUGGUAAGCCGGAGGAAGGUGGGGAUGACGUCAAGUCCUCAUGGCCCUUACGUCCCGGGCUACACACGUGCUACAAUGGCCGAUACAGAGGGUCGCAAUACCGCGAGGUGGAGCUAAUCCCAAAAAAUCGGUCUCAGUUCGGAUUGUAGUCUGCAACUCGACUGCAUGAAGGUGGAAUCGCUAGUAAUCGCGAAUCAGCAGGUCGCGGUGAAUACGUUCCCGGGCCUUGUACACACCGCCCGUCAAGCCACGAAAGUCGGCAGUACCCGAAGUCGCUGCCCCAACCCGCAAGGGAGGGAGGCGCCGAAGGUAAGGUUGGCGAUUGGGGCUAAGUCGUAACAAGGUAACC